UACGUAGGGUGCGAGCGUUGUCCGGAAUUAUUGGGCGUAAAGGGCUCGUAGGCGGUCUGUUGCGUCGGGAGUGAAAACUCAGGGCUUAACCCUGAGCCUGCUUCCGAUACGGGCAGACUAGAGGUAUGCAGGGGAGAACGGAAUUCCUGGUGUAGCGGUGAAAUGCGCAGAAUAUCAGGAGGAACACCGGUGGCGAAGGCGGUUCUCGUGGG
rnacentral:rRNA from 1 species